rnacentral:rRNA from 1 species
GUCCAGACUCCUACGGGAGGCAGCAGUGGGGAAUAUUGCACAAUGGGGGAAACCCUGAUGCAGCGACGCCGCGUGAGUGAAGAAGUAUUUCGGUAUGUAAAGCUCUAUCAGCAGGGAAGAAGUUGACGGUACCUGAGUAAGAAGCCCCGGCUAACUACGUGCCAGCAGCCGCGGUAAUACGUAGGGGGCAAGCGUUAUCCGGAUUUACUGGGUGUAAAGGGAGCGUAGACGGCAGCGCAAGUCUGGAGUGAAAUGCCGGGGCCCAACCCCGGAACUGCUUUGGAAACUGUGCAGCUGGAGUGCAGGAGAGGUAAGCGGAAUUCCUAGUGUAGCGGUGAAAUGCGUAGAUAUUAGGAGGAACACCAGUGGCGAAGGCGGCUUACUGGACUGUAACUGACGUUGAGGCUCGAAAGCGUGGGGAGCAAACAGGAUUAGAUACCCUGGUAA